AUGGAUUAUCUUGUCAUGCAUUGGCUUAUGACCAUUCUUACGGUUGAUUCUGAAAUCUUGUCUUGCGCAUUUGUAGCACAUAAUUUUUCUUCGAGUGAACACCUUCGCCUGCUACACUUUAUAAUAGUAUACUCCCCGUCGAUAUUGAAGUUCAUUGCUGGAGUAUGCAGGUUCGUGGUUGCUCCCCUGGUGGUACUAUUCUUCCUGGCCCACAAAUAUUGGAAAACAAGAAUCACAAUCGAUGCGGUCGAGAAGUUCUUACAAAUGCAGCAAGUGAUCGGCCCAACAAGGUAUGCUUACACAGAUAUUGUCGCGGUCACAAGCCAUUUCAGAGACAAGCUGGGUCAGGGAGGCUAUGGCUCCGUCUACAAGGGCAUUCUGCUCCCAGGCGAUGUCCAUGUGGCCAUCAAGAUGCUGGACGGUAAAUCCUGCUGCGACGGAGAAGAUUUCAUCAGUGAGGUCUCCACCAUCGGCAGGAUCCACCACGUCAAUGUGGUCCGUCUGGUCGGGUUCUGCUCGGAGGAAAUGAGGAGGGCACUAGUCUACGAGUAUAUGCCCCAUGGUUCUCUUGAUAAGUACAUCUUCUCCGCCGAGAAGAGUUUCUCCUGGGACAAGCUCAGUGAGAUUGCCUUGGGCAUUGCUAGGGGGAUCAACUACCUGCAUCAAGGAUGCGACAUGCAGAUUCUACACUUUGAUAUCAAGCCGCACAACAUCCUUCUUGACACCAAUUUUGUCCCAAAAAUUGCUGAUUUUGGCCUUGCCAAGCUAUACCCAAGGGACAACAGUUUUGUGCCGUUGAGCGCCUUACGGGGAACAAUCGGGUACAUAGCUCCUGAGAUGGUAUCCCGGAGCUUUGGCAUCAUAUCUAGCAAGUCAGAUGUUUACAGCUUCGGGAUGCUGCUGUUGGAGAUGGCUGGAGGACGCAGGAACGCGGCAAACUCAAGCCAGGCAUUCUACCCAUCAUGGGUGUAUGACCGGCUAACUAAACAUGAACCGGGUGAGAUAUCUGCUGAGAUGCAUGAAUUGGAGAGGAAGCUGUGCCUUGUUGGUCUGUGUUGCAUCCAGAUGAAGUCCCACGAUCGGCCAGAGAUGAGCGAAGUCAUAGAGAUGCUCGAAGGGAGCGUUGAUAGCAUGCAGGUGCCUUCAAGGCCAUUCUUCUGUGAUGAUGAGCACAGCCCUGUAGUGGAGCCUUACCAUUUCCUCUCUGAGCUGACUACCAUUUCGGAGGAGGAUGAACUAUGGAAUGUGAAUGUUUUAUACAGCACUCUAUAUUAUAAGCCAUGCUUUCUGUGA
rnacentral:rRNA from 1 species